GCCACUGUGGCAUAGUGGUUUGAGUGUUGCACUACAGCUCUGGAGACAGGGUUCGAUUCCCAACUCUGCCA